UCUACAGUGUAGGUAUUUACGAGGCCGGGUAUUGUUACCAAGAAAUGGUUUCUUGAAGUCGCGAUGUGUGAUUGUGGCUGGAAGAUAGAGAGGUGUUUUAUGUGUAGGGCUCUAAGCGGCAAGAGAUGGCUGUGGUAGAAAGAAGCCGUUGGAUCCGCAAAGGACGUGGGAAGAAGAAAAUUUGAGGCACCACCGGCAAAGAGAAGCCGUCGGGUGCCUGUUUGACAGCCUGUCAAACCCGAACGUGCGCUUUUCUGUUUUCUUCCGGGCUGGGUUGAACCUCUUCAGCUUCCGUAGGCAGUGGGUCGGAAGUGCAGGUCAAAAUGGAAGUGAAUCCCCCCAAGCAGGAGCACCUGCUGGCUCUGAAAGGUUUGAGAGCCUCCCACCAGAAUGGAAUAGAUACCUGGUAAAUCACUCACUCUGUUAUAUGCUGCUGCGAUCACCAGGCAGAUUUUAGCUGCAGAAGCUGACGUCCCCACCCGAACCCGGGGAGAGCUCUGUGAACCAAGAUGAUUUACGGCGGACAUCUAAAGUGGUUUUCCUUUCUGUCUCUUGUCUCUUCAUGUGGCACUGAGGAAGUGACCAGGCUUCAGCUUCAUCUGUAAAAUUGGCCUAGUAUCGCGGCGUCAGCAGUGCCAAGGAUUUAGGAAUACGUAGUACUACAACAUAUAAUUUAGGUUUGUUAAAACUUGCUACGCUUCAAAGUAUUGUGUGCAUGGGAAAAUUCGUGUCAAGUUUCAUUUUCUGUACAUAGCAAACAAUUUUGAGUAAAUUUGAUGGUUUAAUUAGAUCAUUGUUUAGGGAAAACCAGCAGGGCAGAGUUUUUUUUAGAAUUCCUUUCAUUUUCUGAGAACCUUUUAUUUGAAAUACUUUUAGCUUUAUUUCAUCUGUUUUCUACUACCACAUAUGCACUUUUUAUUUCUUGGAUGCUGUACUUUGUGGUUACUAAUACCUUCUUGGACUGAGCUGAGAAAAUACUCAAUAGACAUUUGAAUUCAGUUGAAUGGCACUUACCUUCCUUGUGGCAUCCGUUUUAAGGGACCAUUAUCCCCACCAGUUAUGAUGUAGGCAUCAAACAUUCCAGAAGCUCACCAGUCCCACUUGUAACAUAAAUUCAUAUACUGGUAGCUGGGGUUAACAAGACUGUCUCUGACUGUAGAACUAAGAAAUUGCAAUAUUAAGUUAUAUAGCAAUAGGACCUGGAAAUUUAGCCUGAGCAAAUGAACUGAACUGAAAUGGGUUAUUCCUAAAGAAAAAGAAAAAAAGGAACUGUCAUGUUCUUUAAUUCUCAAUUCCAGUGAUA
rnacentral:lncRNA from 1 species